rnacentral:tRNA from 1 species
GUUCUAAUAGCCUAAUACCAAGGCAUUGACCUUGUAAAUCAAAGACGGGGCUUAAGCCCCUUAGAUCA